rnacentral:tRNA from 1 species
GGGGACAUGGUCUAGUGGUAUGACGGAUCCUUAGCAUACCUGAAGCUUCUGCUUCAAUCGCUUGGAUCAGGUCCGGGGUUCGAUUCCCCGUGUCUCCA